GACAGAGGGUGCAAACGUUGUUCGGAAUUACUGGGCGUAAAGCGAGUGUAGGCGGUCCGAUAAGUCGGGUGUGAAAGCCCUGGGCUCAACCCAGGAAGUGCACUCGAUACUGUCGGGCUAGAGUAUCGGAGAGGUUGGUGGAAUUCUCGGUGUAGAGGUGAAAUUCGUAGAUAUCGAGAGGAACACCGAUGGCGAAGGCAGCCUCCUGGGCCAAUACUGACGCUCAUGCACGAAAGCGUGGGGAGCAAACAGG
rnacentral:rRNA from 1 species